CCUACGGGAGGCUGCAGUCGAGAAUCUUCCGCAAUGGGCGAAAGCCUGACGGAGCGACACCGCGUGCAGGAUGAAGGCCUUCGGGUUGUAAACUGCUGUCGAGCUUUAGGAAUGACCUGGCGUGAAUAGCGCCAGGGGUGACCAAAGCUGAAGGAAGCAACGGCUAACUCUGUGCCAGCAGCCGCGGUAAGACAGAGGUUGCAAACGUUGUUCGGAAUUACUGGGCAUAAAGCGCACGUAGGUGGUCUGCUAAGUCGCGUGUGAAAUGUCCCGGCUCAACCGGGGAAUUGCGCGCGAUACUGGCAGGCUCGAGGUCGGGAGGGGUGAGCGGAACUCCUGGUGGAGCGGUGAAAUGCGUAGAUAUCAGGAGGAACACCGGUGGCGAAAGCGGCUCACUGGCCCGAAUCUGACACUGAGGUGCGAAAGCUAGGGUAGCAAACGGGAUUAGAUACCCCGGUAGUC
rnacentral:rRNA from 1 species